rnacentral:rRNA from 1 species
AGAGUUUGAUCCUGGCUCAGAAUCAACGCUGGCGGCGUGCCUAACACAUGCAAGUCGAACGCGAAAGCCCCGCAAGGGGUAAGUAGAGUGGCAAACGGGUGAGUAACACGUGGGUGACCUGCCUUAGAGUGGGGGAUAACGUCCCGAAAGGGACGCUAAUACCGCAUAACAUCCUGCCUUUGAAGAGGUGGAGAUCAAAGCUGGGGACCGCAAGGCCUGGCGCUCAAAGAGGGGCCCGCGCCUGAUUAGCUAGUUGGUGAGGUAAUGGCUCACCAAGGCAACGAUCAGUAUCCGGCCUGAGAGGGCGGACGGACACACUGGGACUGAGACACGGCCCAGACUCCUACGGGAGGCAGCAGUGGGGAAUUGUUCGCAAUGGGCGCAAGCCUGACGACGCAACGCCGCGUGGAGGAUGAAGACCUUCGGGUCGUAAACUCCUUUCGAUCGAGACGAACAGCCAUCGGAUGAACAAUCCGGAGGUUUGACGGUACCGAGAGAAGAAGCCCCGGCUAACUCCGUGCCAGCAGCCGCGGUAAUACGGGGGGGGCAAGCGUUGUUCGGAAUUACUGGGCGUAAAGGGCUCGUAGGUGGCCAACUAAGUCAGACGUGAAAUCCCUCGGCUUAACCGGGGAACUGCGUCUGAUACUGGAUGGCUUGAGUUCGGGAGACGGAUGCGGAAUUCCAGGUGUAGCGGUGGAAUGCGUAGAUAUCUGGAGGA